UUCAAUCUAAAGUUUAUAUCGCCUGAUUAAUUUUAUUUGCACAACGUGUUCUGUUCAACGCUUUAAAGUUUCUGCUUUGGAACUAUUCUUACAAAUUUCGCCAUACAGUAACAAGAAUCUCCUGAAUUUCUUUGCUGGGACAUUUAGAGUACAAGAUAAUGAUGAUGUCAUUUAUGGCAAUUAUUUUUAUUUUCGCAUUACCUUUGCGACUUUCAACGGAUUCUCGAUUCAAACAAUGCGGAUGCUAUUUCAAAAUGGUAUUCAAAUCAAAACUAUCGGCAGACUGCUCAAAUCAAUCAAACAUAGACUUCAAUUAUCUGUCAAAGAGUGAACCAUACGAAAUAUUGUUGAAAAACAAUAACUACACUGAAGUCCCAUCUGAGAUGUUUGAUCAUAGCUUUAAUAAAACUCUACACAUUGAUUUAUCAGAAAAUUUAAUUGAACGUAUUCCUGGUAAAUUGUUGAAGCAUUGCGUGCGCCUAAAAUCACUCAACCUUAGCCAUAAUAAGUUGACUAAUAUUAAGGAUCUAUUUCUCAUCGAUUGCAAUAUUAACAUCUCGAUUUUGGGCAAUCGGUUUGAAUGUGAUUGCAAUGAUCCAGAUAAUAUUCUAGUUUAUAAUCACGCAAAGAAACUAGGAAUAACUGUGACUUGCUAUUCAUCUCUUUAUGAGCACCCCAUACCGCUAACAGCAAAAUGCCACGCCCAAUUUAAUGCAGUGCAACCCCAGGAAGGAAAGCUUGCCUAUUAUAUCGUAUUAUUUUCGGUGAUGGUCAUUUUUUGUCUUGUAUCAUUUGCUGCAUUUAAAUAUGGCCGAAGUUGUUGAAGUUUCAUUAAAAGUAUUGAUAUUAUUUUGUAUUUUAGCUUCUAAUAUUAGUGUAUUGAGACCUUAAAUGUAUUCAAUAGCUAUAAAAUGUGAUCUAUGUAUCAUGUCUUCUACUGUGCAAAAAUUAUAAUAAAGAAAUACACAGAGAAAUUUA